rnacentral:rRNA from 1 species
GUGAGGAAUAUUGCACAAUGGGCGAAAGCCUGAUGCAGCAACGCCGCGUGAGUGAUGAAGGCCUUUGGGUCGUAAAACUCUGUCCUUGGGGAAGAAAAAAAUGACGGUACCCUUGGAGGAAGCCCCGGCUAACUACGUGCCAGCAGCCGCGGUAAUACGUAGGGGGCAAGCGUUAUCCGGAAUUAUUGGGCGUAAAGAGUGCGUAGGUGGUUUUGUAAGCGUAGGGUGAAAGGCAGUAGCUCAACUAUUGUUAGCCCUGCGAACUGUGAGACUUGAGUGCAGGUGAGGAAAGUGGAAUUCCUAGUGUAGCGGUGAAAUGCGUAGAUAUUAGGAGGAACACCAGUGGCGAAGGCGACUUUCUGGACUGUAACUGACACUGAGGCACGAAAGCGUGGGUAGCAAACAGGAUUAGAAACCCUGGUAGUCC